GGUGAUGAAGCAAGAUUCCAAGAAGAAAAGCAUUGUCUGGGUUCAUCAUUGGGUUAUCAACCUGAGCAAUUGUUUGAUGCUGGGUUUUUUUGCAAGGAGGGAAGCAGCAGCGGGAAAUGGUGAAGCUCUCAAAUAUCUUCAUCAACGUCAAGCAAGUGGCGAGCAUGCAACCAUAUGCAAGGAUAUUUUAUAUUGCUUUCUUGUAACACUCCUCAUCCGUCUACAGUGUAGCCGAGUAAAGUGUGUCACAUUCGGUGUCGGAGUACUCUAUCUUGUCCUGUCAUAUCUCUUGUAAAUUUUAAAAGUUCAUAGAAAACAUGUGGUAAAUUUUUUUUUUAUUACAAUUUAUUUUUGUGGAAACCCGGGCAGAGUCCCAUCUGUUUUAUUAACAACUGACGAGUUCCA
rnacentral:misc_RNA from 1 species